AGUAAAGUCUAAAAGAGCCUGUGGUUUGACCCUCCAUAAUAUGUACAGAUCUGCCAUGUUGAUGCUGUUCUUACCAGCUGCAGAGCUCAGAUGAUGGCAGCAAAGACGGGGCGGGGGCUGUUCUGAGUACAGCUGUCCGGAAAUCAUGGAGAGCAGGGCCGAGAGGUGGGGUCUGAAACGUCUCAUUUCCCAAGGAUUCUCCCUGAACCAUUUCUGCUAAUGUCUGAUCUAACUGUCUGAAUGUCAUCCCCAACUGUAUCUCAUCACUCUGUUGUCUGUUUUACUUUCUGUGAGUGAGCAUCAGCUAUUGACUUUACCACCUCUGCAAUGGAAAGUGGAUCUACCCCUCAAGGUUAUGGAACUUCUGCAUGAAGCAAAUCCUACCUAUUCUAAGGCCACAGGGGACCAUGACAUAAUUUAACCUAUGAACUUGUACCACUAGGUGGUGGAAGGACCAAGCCUAAGUACAGACAGUCAAAAAGCCCAAGGCUGAGUUGAUUCAGUCUUUGCAGGUUA